rnacentral:rRNA from 1 species
GUCCCGCAACGAGCGCAACCUCACCUUAGUUGCCAUCAUUAAGUUGGGCACCUAAGGGAACUGCCGCAGUUAAUGCGGAGGAAGGUGGGGAUGACGUCAAGUCCUCAUGGCCCUUAUAUCCAGGGCUACACACGUGCUACAAUGGACGGUACAAAGGGUCGCGAACCUGCAAAGGGGAGCUAACCCCAGAAAACCGCUCUCAGUUCGGAUUGGAGUCUGCAACCCGACUCCAUGAAGUUGGAAUCGCUAGUAAUCGCGGAUCAGAACGCCGCGGUGAAUACGUUCCCGGGCCUU